rnacentral:rRNA from 1 species
UGCUCUUCGAUUCAGCGGCGGACGGGUGAGUAAUACCUAGGAAUCUGCCUGGUAGUGGGGGACAACGUUUCGAAAGGAACGCUAAUACCGCAUACGUCCUACGGGAGAAAGCAGGGGACCUUCGGGCCUUGCGCUAUCAGAUGAGCCUAGGUCGGAUUAGCUAGUUGGUGAGGUAAUGGCUCACCAAGGCGACGAUCCGUAACUGGUCUGAGAGGAUGAUCAGUCACACUGGAACUGAGACACGGUCCAGACUCCUACGGGAGGCAGCAGUGGGGAAUAUUGGACAAUGGGCGAAAGCCUGAUCCAGCCAUGCCGCGUGUGUGAAGAAGGUCUUCGGAUUGUAAAGCACUUUAAGUUGGGAGGAAGGGCAGUAAGCUAAUACCUUGCUGUUUUGACGUUACCGACAGAAUAAGCACCGGCUAACUCUGUGCCAGCAGCCGCGGUAAUACAG